rnacentral:misc_RNA from 1 species
UCUGCUCAAUGUGAGUAUCUCUCAUUUCACGAGGUAGUAGCUUCUCUUCUCUUUGUUCCCUUGCCAAAUGAAGGAUCUUCUCAUACUGUUGAUUUCCUUCACAGUGCUCUUGGGUAUUGGAAAUAGACUCAUCAUGCAUCUAAAGCUAACUUGAUGAGAGUCAACCUACCCCCCCGUGGACUUUUCCAUCUUGAGAGUCUUUUCUUACAUCUCUCCAUCACCUCACUCCAUACCUCCAACUCCUUGUUUUUGGCCCCCAGCUG